ACAGGUAGUUGUCUGUCAAACUGAUAAGACCGCUGUAAAGGUAUCGGGACUUUAACAGAAAGAACACCGAUGUGUCUUUAACAGAAACUCGGCUCCGCUCCUUUAAACAAAAUGCUAACCAUGUGUCCGAUAACAAGCCUUUUAUUUUGAAUGUUCUGACCGGACGUUGUGUUUUUUGCUACCGGAAGCCUUUUCGUGUUUAGGCCACACUGGAUGCAAAAGGAACGAAAUUUGGGUGCAGAAACGUUAGCUUCUGUUAGUUUCAUGAAUGUGAGAAUAAAAAUAGAAACGGAACCGUGGAACUAAACACACAUGGAUCCCAACCGUAUAAUCCAGGCUCUGAAGGGAACUAUCGACCCCAACCUGAGGAUAGCGGCAGAAAAUGAACUCAAUCAGUCCUACAAGAUCAUUAAUUUCGCCCCCACCCUGCUUCAGAUCAUUGUGUCGGAGCAAGUAGAGUUUCCUGUUCGCCAAGCAGCUGCAAUCUACUUGAAGAACAUGGUGAGUCAGUACUGGCAGGACAGGGAGCCAUCUGUCGGGGAGGUUGUCUUUCCCUUCAACAUCCAUGAGAACGACCGGCAGCAGAUCAGAGAUCAGAUCUUGGAGGGUAUCAUCCGCUGUCCCGAGUCCAUACGUGCCCAGUUGACCAUGUGUUUGCGAGCUAUCAUCAAGCAUGACUUCCCUGGCCGCUGGACUGCCAUUGUGGACAAGAUCAAUAUGUACCUGCAGUCGCCAAACAGUGGCAGCUGGUAUGGAACCCUGCUGGCUCUCUACCAGCUGGUCAAAACAUACGAGUACAGGAAAGCAGAUGAGAGGGAGCCGUUGCUUGCAGCCAUGCAGAUCUUCCUGCCCAGGAUACAACAACUCAUCAGCCAGCUUCUGGUUGAUGCCACAAUCUUUUCAGUCCUCAUUCAGAAACAGAUCCUGAAGAUCUUCCAUGCUCUUGUACAGUAUUCGCUGCCUCUCCAGCUGAUCAACAACACAGUGAUGACUCAGUGGAUGGAAAUACUCCGAGCCAUAAUGGACCGAGACAUCCCAGCUGAGACAUUGGAGGUGGAUGAAGACGACCGUCCUGAGCUGGCGUGGUGGAAGUGUAAAAAGUGGGCGUUGCGCAUCAUCACACGACUGUUUGAACGAUAUGGAAGUCCAGGAAACGUGACAAAAGAGUACUACGAGUUUGCAGAUUUUUUCCUGAAGACAUAUGCAGUGGGGAUACAGCAGGUCUUGCUGAAGGUGGUGGACCAGUACAGACAGAAGCAGUAUGUUACUCCUCAGGUCCUACAGCAGUGCCUCAACUACCUCAACCAGGGCCUGUCACACUCACUGACCUGGAAACAGAUGAAGCCGCACAUGCAGACCAUAUGCCAGGAGGUCAUCUUCCCUCUUAUGUGCUACAAAGACGAGGACGAGAAACUAUGGCAAGAGGAUCCAUAUGAGUAUAUCCGUAUGAAGUUCAACCUCUAUGAUGACCAUGCUCUCCCAGUCACUGCUGCCCAGAGCCUGCUGUGUAAAGCUGCACGCAAGAGGAAAGAGGUCCUGCCUCAAAUGAUGGAGUUCUGCCAUCAUAUCCUGAUGGACCCCUCUGCUGAUCCUUGCAGGACGGAUGGAGCGCUGCACUGCAUCGGAGCUCUGGCUGAGCUCUUGCUUAAGAAGCGGCUGUACAGGGAGCAAAUGGAGCUAAUGCUUCAGAACUACGUCUUCCCCUUGCUUAACUCUCCUUUGGGUUACCUGCGUGCCAGGUCCUGCUGGGUGUUGCACUCGUUCAGUCCGCUGCGUUUCCAUGACGAGCUGGUGCUGAGGAAUGCCGUGGAGUUGGUCAAACAGGAUCUGAUAGAUGACAAAGAGAUGCCUGUCAAGGUGGAGGCUGCCAUCGCUCUGCAGACGCUGGUCAGCAACCAGGAACAAGCCAAGCUGUACAUCAGGCCUUACAUUCGGCAAGUCAUGCAGGAGCUUCUGCAUGUGGUCAGAGAAACGGAGAACGAUGACCUGACCAACGUCAUUCAGAAAAUGAUCUGCGAGUACAACCAGGAAGUGGCCGUCAUUGCUGUAGACAUGACACAGAACCUGGCAGAGAUCUUCACAAGAGUUCUACAGAGUGAGGAGUACGAGGAGAACGAAGAUAAGACUGUUAUGGCUCUUGGUAUCCUCAGUACAAUUGACACCAUCCUCACCGUAAUGGAAGACCACAAAGAGAUCACACAGCAGCUAGAGGGGAUCUGUUUGCAGGUGAUUGGCCUGGUCUUGCAGAAACCCAUCAUAGGUAUGGCAGAAUUCUAUGAGGAGAUCCUGUCACUGGCAUUUGGCCUUACCUGUCAGACCAUCUCCCCCCAGAUGUGGCAGCUGUUAGGCGUCCUGUAUGAGGUCUUCCAGCAUGACUGCUUUGAUUACUUCACAGAUAUGAUGCCGCUUUUGCACAACUACGUUACUGUGGAUACGGACAUGCUUCUGUCCAGUCCGAAGCACUUAGAGGUCAUCUACAGCAUGUGCAAAAAGGUAUUGUCCAUGGAUUCAGGCGAAGAUGCAGAGUGUCAUGCAGCCAAACUGUUGGAGGUUAUCAUCCUGCAGUGCAAAGGCAGAGGCAUUGACCAGUGCAUCCCUCUUUUCGUGGAGGCAGUGCUUGAGCGUUUGAUGCGGGGGGUGAAAUCCAGUGAGCUGAGGACAAUGUGUCUCCAGGUUGCCAUUGCUGCUCUCUACUACAACCCAGCCCUGCUCAUCCACACGAUGGACAACAUGCACUUUCCACACAACCCGCAGCCCAUAACCACACACUUCAUCAACCAGUGGAUGAAUGACACUGAAUUCUUCUUGGGACUCCAUGAUCGUAAGAUGUGCAUCAUCGGACUGAGUGUGCUAAUCGAUCUUCCUAGCCGGCCAGCAGUGCUGGAUGCAGUUGCUGCUCAGAUUGUCCCCUCCAUUCUCCUCCUUUUCCUGGGCCUCAAACACCUUAAUGCCUCCCGCCUAAUCAACAAACCAGAGCUGCUUGCCCGUGCAGGGGCUCAAGAUGAAGACCAGAAUGCUGACACACAGCUUCACACAGCACCACUGCAGUCAGACAAACAGCUCCUCCCCUCACUAACAGCUGAAGUAGUUUUUCAAGAGAGGAGAUUCCUAGUGAUGAAGAUGAGGUGAAUGAGAACUGUAACACCAUGCAGCAGCAGUCCAGCAUGCCAGCAGGCCAAGGAGGCGAUGAUGAUGACGACGAUGAAGAUGACUAUUGGGAUGACGAUGGUUUUGAGGGAACGCCUCUGGAGGAGUACAGCACGCCUCUGGACUACGACAAUGGAGAGGACGAGUAUCAGUUCUUCACUUCUGCCCUGCUCAGGGUCCAGAGUACUGAUCCAGCAUGGUACCAUUGUUUGACAGCUGCGCUCAGCGAUGACCAGAAAAAACAGCUUCAGGAGAUCUACAGCAUCUCACAGCAGAGGAGGAGCACUGCAACUAAGGGCCAAUGAGCACUGAAGAAACAAAUGGGCUGCAGAAUCAGGAGAGGGAUCAAAGAAGAGAAAAGCUGGUCUGAGCUGAAGUGUACUUCAGUUCAAUCUGAACGAUGUCAGUCUACAUCAAACCAUAUCUGAACAGAUCCCACCAGAACCAGUUCCCAGAGUUUCAGUAGACCUGGAUGGAGUAGCAGGGGCUGGUUUCAAAUCACAAUAAUUGCUGAUUUGCUGCACUGCUUCAGACCCCCACUGGAAUAUUACUUUCACUGGGACAGGUCCACCGGCCUGUGAGUGUGUGUGGGUGUGUGACUGUGUCUCUGUGUAUACUUGAGGAAAAGGUCUGCAUUAUAAAUAUAAAUGUUCUUGACCAGCACAAUUCACAAAAUAUUUUGUACAGUGCAGUGCUUUAAUUUGUAACUAAGUCAGUUGUGUUUUGUGUUUGUCUCUCAGCGAAACUGUAAAAAACAAAACCGAAUAAAACUGCAUCAGAGUGUGUUUUUGUAUGUA